rnacentral:rRNA from 1 species
UACGGGGGGAGCAAGCGUUGUUCGGAUUUACUGGGCGUAAAGGGCGCGUAGGCGGCCACCGCAAGUCGACUGUGAAAUCUCCGGGCUUAACCCGGAAAGGUCAGCCGAUACUGCGGGGCUAGAGUGCAGAAGGGGCAACUGGAAUUCUCGGUGUAGCGGUGAAAUGCGUAGAUAUCCGGAGGAAGACACCGGUGGCGAAG